rnacentral:rRNA from 1 species
GACGAACGCUGGCGGCGUGCUUAACACAUGCAAGUCGAACGGAAAGGCCCUGCUUUUGUGGGGUGCUCGAGUGGCGAACGGGUGAGUAACACGUGAGUAACCUGCCCUUGACUUUGGGAUAACUUCAGGAAACUGGGGCUAAUACCGGAUAGGAGCUCCUGCUGCAUGGUGGGGGUUGGAAAGUUUCGGCGGUUGGGGCUGGACUCGCGGCUUAUCAGCUUGUUGGUGGGGUAGUGGCUUACCAAGGCUUUGACGGGUAGCCGGCCUGGGAGGGUGACCGGCCACAUUGGGACUGAGAUACGGCCCAGACUCCUACGGGAGGCAGCGGUGGGGAAUAUUGCACAAUGGGCGGAAGCCUGAUGCAGCAACGCCGCGUGCGGGAUGACGGCCUUCGGGUUGUAAACCGCUUUCGCCUGUGACGAAGCGUGAGUGACGGUAAUGGGUAAAGAAGCACCGGCUAACUACGUG